rnacentral:rRNA from 1 species
UUGAAUUUCGGGAUUAAUUUAUUGGUCGUGCAAUCGUACGUACUGGUAUUAUUGAUUCCUACCUUCUGACGAACCAUGAUGUCAUUAAUUUGGUGUCAUGGGGAAUCAGGACUGUUACUUUGAAAAAAUUAGAGUGUUUAAAGCAGGCUCACGCUUGAAUACAUUAGCAUGGAAUAACGAAAUAGGACGUUUGAUUCUAUUUGUGUACA